rnacentral:rRNA from 1 species
UACGUAGGGGGCAAGCGUUGUCCGGAUUUAUUGGGCGUAAAGAGCGUGUAGGCGGCUAGAUAGGUCCGUUGUGAAAACUCGAGGCUCAACCUCGAGACGUCGAUGGAAACCAUCUAGCUAGAGUCCGGAAGAGGAGAGUGGAAUUCCUGGUGUAGCGGUGGAAUGCGCAGAUAUCAGGAGGAACGCCAAUGGCGAAGGCAGCUCUCUGGUACAUGAUUGACGCUGAGACGCGAAAGCGUGGGGAGCGAACAGG